AUUGAACGCUGGCGGCAGGCCUAACACAUGCAAGUCGAGCGAGCGGCGGACGGGUGAUUAAUGUCUGGGAAACUGCCUGAUGGAGGGGGAUAACUACUGGAAACGGUAGCUCAUCCCGCAUACCAUCAGAUGUGCCCAGAGGGUAUUAGAUAGUAGGUGGUGUAACGGCUCACCUACGCGACGAUCCCUAGCUGGUCUGAGAGGAUGACCAGUCACACUGGAACUGAGACACGGUCCAGACGCCUACGGGAGGCAGCAGUGGGGAAUAUUGCACAAUGGGCGCAAGCCUGAUGCAGCCAUGCCGCGUGUGUGAAGAAGGCCUUCGGGUUGUAAAGCACUUUCAGCGGGGAGGCGUUACCCGCAGAAGAAGCACCGGCUAACUCCGUGCCAGCAGCCGCGGUAAUAC
rnacentral:rRNA from 1 species